UUUUCUGUGGGGCUGGAGAUUAAAUUCAUAGCCUUGUGUGUGCUAGGCAAAUGCUCACCAUGCACCGCCCCCGCCUCCAUUCCCAAUGCUUAUAUAAGCUCACGCAUCCACCGUUCACCUCCCGUUCACUAUCCAAGUCCCCUUCAGCAUGGUCCGUGUAUAUAGAUAUGUAUUUUCAUAGCCACCUCUUCCUCAGGGUCUCCCCAGCAUGCCUUUCUGCUGCUUCUGUCUCCCUGAGGCUUCUCUAUUCAUUUAUUUUGUGAGAUUGUAUCCCUCAGCAUCUAGCCUUCAGCCAUCUUUGAAUGGUGGAUAGCUAGCUGGUCUCCGAGCGUCUGUCCUGUCCUCCACAGUUCAUUGACCUUCCCAGUGUGACAUUUUAAAGCAAAGCCUGGGCAAGAUUAUUGCCCAGGGUUUCUCUAACAUCUAACCCAUUCCUGGACUAUCUCCCUGCCUCCUUUUUAAACUUAACUUUUAGUGUGAAAUCAUCUUUGUUGACGGUUGUAUCAUAUGUUGACAGCAGCCAUCCACAGAGUGGUUUCUGUCUCCUGUUGCUUGCUGGAUAUUUUGUUUCCAACUAUUUGUUUGUUCCGAUUUAUUUUGGUUUGUAGGUGUUUCUUGUCCUGGUUGAGGCACUGUGACUAUAUAAGAAGAGAGUGUAAAAUUACUUCACAGGCAAUGGAGCCAGGGCUUGGUUUUAUCCUCCACAGCUAUAAUGGUUAUGAAAACACAAGAGAGGGCUGGAGAGAUGGCUUAGUGGUUAAGAGCACUGACUGCUCUUCCAGAGGUCCCGAGUUCAAAUCCCAGCAACCACAUGGUGGCUCAUAACCAUCUGUAAUAGGAUCUGAUGCCCUUUUCUGGUGUGUCUGAAGACAGCUACAGUGUACCUAUAUACAUAUAAUAAAUAAUUCUAAAAAAAAAAAAAGAAUACACAAGAGAUAGCAAGGGACCUGGUUCACAGCUCUUCCUAUUUCUUUAAGACACUCACAGAAAGGACGAUAUCUUUCAUCAAGCACCUUUGCCAGGACCUUCCCACCCUUUAUCUCAUUAUGCAAAUCAGACCAGACCCGUAGACUGUGGCCUGAAGCUAGAUUAGAGAUACAGAAGGGAGAGAGAUUCACAGCAAUGAAAAUCCAGAAUUCCACAGCUGUGCUACCCGCAUUAUCAAACACGUUCCCACACGAUCCCAACAAGGCUACCCAUAAAUCGUCUGAGGUUUGCUAAUUUAUUUGUCAAUUUAUGGAGCUUAUAAUUAGUAGUAGGGUGUGGGAUUUAAGAUAUUCUUUUAUACCUGAGAACAGAUCACAGAGAGAAAGAUUGUAGUUAGAUAAGAGCUGGUAACAAACAACUCUGACCCACACUGAAGAUCAGGAGAGCUUCCCCAAGAAACAACAUGUGGCUGACAGAGGUGGCGCACACCUUUAAUCCCAGCUCUCCAGGGUCAGAGGCAGGCGGAUCUCUGAGUUCAAGGCUAGCCUGGUCUGCAGAGUGAGUUCCAGGACAGCCAGGGCUACACAGAGAAAGCCUGUCUCAAAAACAAGCAAGCAAGCGAACAGAGGAAAAGCAGCAGCAUGUGAGUUGAGACCUCAGUGAAGGGUAGACAAGAGCCCUGAGAGAGAACAGGAAACCUUGAAGGUUUGCGUUUUGAAAAGUUUAAUCUGCCUUCAAUGUCGUGAACAUGUUGGAGGGGUCCAGGGGGGAUGAAUUGAGAAUAGUUCAGAAGCUGUAACUGACGUCUGAACAAGAGGUGGUUGUGGCCUUGCUGGUAUGCUAGCCGGAUAGGAAGAGAAAAUGGGUCCAUUUAAUAUGGACUGAGGGUGUCCUGACAAGUUAAAUAAGGUGAUGACUAAGGUCUUAGGGUGGUAUUCUGGGCAUGUGAGAUGCCUAACGGAACCAUACCAUGUCACCUUUGGAAGCAGGGAUGAGUGGGAGUGGGAGAAGUCACAGGAGAGAUUUGUGGCACGAGACAAUGAGAUGUAUGUACCAAGCAGGAACUCCAAGGAGACACACAGGCUGAGGGUGGGCACUUAGGAGUUACCGUUAUGAAAUAGUAAAUUCAACCCUAAACAUGGACGAGACUAGCCAGGGAGGACAGAAGACUGAGAGAUGCCCGUGACUGAGCUACGCCCUCUCUCCAGUCUUUUAAAAGCAAACUCCUUUCUGAGGAAAUACUCACUUCUUAAAACAGAAAGCUGAUCUGUCAACAGAAGAAGCAGAUGUACCCUGCGGCGUGCGUACACAGGAACACUAUUUAAAAUGCGGGGUCAAACGUCGCUUCAAAGAAGAGUCAUCGGAAGCGUAACCUGAUAUGGACACCACCUUGGCUUCGUCCAGGGCCACCUGUGUUACCAGCCCUUUUGUCCCGUCCCUCCACCUCCCCGAAGGGAUGAAUUUGGAAGCCCUCUUCUUCAUCUAAGAUCCCAGCCCUCACAGAGUGACACACAGACUCACCCAGCACAUGGCACUUUCUCUCGUAACCGAAAGCUGAUUAAUACCACGGCCUGGAAUCAGUCAUGAGCAGUCAAGGCCUCCUCCCCUUUCACAAGAAACCUGGAAAGGGACAGCGGGUUCGAGGCAGAAGACGGACUCCUGGGAGUCAUUGUAUUCUCCCUUCAGGCUGCGGGGUAGUGUCCCUCAUAUCCCGCUCCUGUCCUUUCAGAAUUCGGUGCUUGGGAGAGACACGCGACUUACCUGUGCCUCCAUUCAUCUCGGUCUCAAGAGUUAAGCAGUUUGGGAUAACAAACUUAAAUUCCUAUAACAUCGUCUAGACGCUCCUGAGCACUGUCAGCUAAGACACUGGUUUUGUUUGAUUUGUUUUUUUCUUUGAAAAGGGGGUGGGGUGUGGACAAAGUGUAAAGGCUCUAGCAUCCAAGUCUGCUGACCGGAGUUUGAUCCUUGGAGCUUUCUUGGUGGAAGGAGGGAAUUAAUUCUGGAAAUUGCCCUCUGGUCUUCUCCUGAGUGCUGUGGUGUACAUGUGCAAACACACGCAUACACUCACUAAAUAAAUAAAUGAUUUUUUAAAAGCUUUAA